rnacentral:rRNA from 1 species
UCAUUGGAAACUGGGGAACUUGAGUGCAGAAGAGGAGAGUGGAAUUCCACGUGUAGCGGUGAAAUGCGUAGAGAUGUGGAGGAACACCAGUGGCGAAGGCGACUCUCUGGUCUGUAACUGACGCUGAGGCGCGAAAGCGUGGGGAGCGAACAGGAUUAGAUACCCUGGUAGUCCACGCCGUAAACGAUGAGUGCUAAGUGUUAGAGGGUUUCCGCCCUUUAGUGCUGCAGCAAACGCAUUAAGCACUCCGCCUGGGGAGUACGGUCGCAAGACUGAAACUCAAAGGAAUUGACGGGGGCCCGCACAAGCGGUGGAGCAUGUGGUUUAAUUCGAAGCAACGCGAAGAACCUUACCAGGUCUUUGACAUCCUCUGACAACCCUAGAGAUAGGGCUUCCCCUUCGGGGGCAGAGUGACAGGUGGUGCAUGGUUGUCGUCAGCUCGUGUCGUGAGAUGUUGGGUUAAGUCCCGCAACGAGCGCAACCCUUGAUCUUAGUUGCCAGCAUUCAGUUGGGCACUCUAAGGUGACUGCCGGUGACAAACCGGAGGAAGGUGGGGAUGACGUCAAAUCAUCAUGCCCCUUAUGACCUGGGCUACACACGUGCUACAAUGGGCAGAACAAAGGGCAGCGAAGCCGCGAGGCUAAGCCAAUCCCACAAAUCUGUUCUCAGUUCGGAUCGCAGUCUGCAACUCGACUGCGUGAAGCUGGAAUCGCUAGUAAUCGCGGAUCAACCAUGCCCGG